UGGGGAGUAGUGUAACGGUAGCACAAGAGCCUUUGAAGCUCUACGUCCAGGUUCGAGCCCUGGCUCCCCAG
rfam:Omnitrophica WOR_2 bacterium RIFCSPLOWO2_12_FTLL_63_16 rifcsplowo2_12_scaffold_844, whole genome shotgun sequence.